GGCCUGAGAGGGUGAACGGACACACUGGAACUGAGACACGGUCCAGACUCCUACGGGAGGCAGCAGUAGGGAAUAUUGCUCAAUGGGGGAAACCCUGAAGCAGCAACGCCGCGUGGAGGAUGAAGGUUUUCGGAUUGUAAACUCCUUUUGUUAGAGAAGAUAAUGACGGUAUCUAACGAAUAAGCACCGGCUAACUCCGUGCCAGCAGCCGCGGUAAUACGGAGGGUGCAAGCGUUACUCGGAAUCACUGGGCGUAAAGAGCGCGUAGGCGGGAUAGCAAGUCAGAUGUGAAAUCCUAUGGCUUAACCAUAGAACUGCAUUUGAAACUGUUAUUCUAGAGUAUGGGAGAGGUAGGUGGAAUUCU
rnacentral:rRNA from 1 species